rnacentral:rRNA from 1 species
GACGAACGCUGGCGGCGUGCUUAACACAUGCAAGUCGAACGAAGAGCGACGGAAGCUUGCUUCUAUCAAUCUUAGUGGCGAACGGGUGAGUAACGCGUAAUCAACCUGCCCUUCAGAGGGGGACAACAGUUGGAAACGACUGCUAAUACCGCAUACGAUCUAACCUCGGCAUCGAGGAUAGAUGAAAGGUGGCCUCUACAUGUAAGCUAUCACUGAAGGAGGGGAUUGCGUCUGAUUAGCUAGUUGGAGGGGGAACGGCCCACCAAGGCGAUGAUCAGUAGCCGGUCUGAGAGGAUGAACGGCCACAUUGGGACUGAGACACGGCCCAGACUCCUACGGGAGGCAGCAGUGGGGAAUCUUCCGCAAUGGACGAAAGUCUGACGGAGCAACGCUGCGUGAGUGAUGACGGCCUUCGGGUUGUAAAGCUCUGUUAAUCGGGACGAAAGGCCUUCUUGCGAAUAGGGAGAAGGAUUGACGGUACCGGAAGAGAAAGCCACGGCUAACUACGUG